GUUCCUGUGGCCUAAGGGUUAAGGUUUUGGACUCCGAAUCCAAAGAUUGUGGAUUUAUGUACCACAUGGAACA
rnacentral:tRNA from 1 species